rnacentral:rRNA from 1 species
UACGAAGGUCCCAAGCGUUAUCCGGAUUCAUUGGGUUUAAAGGGAGCGUAGGCGGUCUUAUAAGUCAGUGGUGAAAGCUCCUCGCUUAACGAGGAAAUUGCCAUUGAUACUGUAGGACUUGAGUACAGUUGCUGUGGGCGGAAUAUGACAUGUAGUGGUGAAAUACAUAGAUAUGUCAUAGAACACCGAUUGCGAAGGCAGCUCACUAAACUGUAACUGACGCUGAGGCUCGAAAGUGCGGGGAUCAAACAGG